GAAAAAUGAAGAUACUCUGACUGCUUCCUAUCAUCACAGUGAAGACCUCAGAUCCAACUCUGAUUUCACUCUAGUU
rnacentral:snoRNA from 1 species